UGGGGAAUCUUGCACAAUGGGCGAAAGCCUGAUGCAGCGACGCCGCGUGGGGGAUGAAGGCCCUCGGGUUGUAAACUCCUUUCGGCAGGGAAGAAGCCGCAAGGUGACGGUACCUGCAGAAGAAGCCCCGGCCAACUACGUGCCAGCAGCCGCGGUAAGACGUAGGGGGCGAGCGUUGUCCGGAUUUACUGGGCGUAAAGCGCGCGUAGGCGGCUCGUUAAGUCGGGUGUGAAACCCCGGGGCUCAACCCCGGGACUGCAUCCGAUACUGGCGGGCUCGAGGCAGGUAGGGGAGAGUGGAAUUCCCGGUGUAGCGGUGAAAUGCGCAGAUAUCGGGAGGAACACCGGUGGCGAAGGCGGCUCUCUGGGCCUGUCCUGACGCUCAGGCGCGAAAGCUAGGGGAGCAAACAGG
rnacentral:rRNA from 1 species